UUAAAAUAUGUUACUAAUUAGUAAUAUAAAAAUGGCUUCACCACGCGGGUGUGUAUUGUAUGAGGAAUCAAAUAAAAAGAUGAGAGCACUGCUUCAACUUCAGGCUUUGACUACUCGCCUCUCACAUUCAUCUUCCUCCUCCAUCUUCUUUCGCGCCAAAACCUUGUGGUUGAAUCCAAACAGAGCGUGCACUCAGAACUCCCAAGUGAGAAGGAUAUGGUUUUCCGCUCCAGUUUGUAUGGGUCGCCGUUCCUGCAAAAUUGCUGGGAGAAAGGAAGCCCAAGAUGCGAAGAAGACAAAACUAUACUCAAGGAUUGGAAAGGAGGUUGUGUCUGCGGUAAAAAGAGGUGGUCCAAAUGUAACAUCUAAUUCAGUUUUGGCUGCUGUACUUGAGAAAGCUAAGGAGCUUGAUGUGCCUAAAGAUAUUGUUGAGCGCAAUAUCAAGAGAGCUUCUGAGAAAGGACAGGAGGCUUAUAUUGAGAAAGUCUAUGAGGUUUAUGGUUAUGGAGGAGUUAGUAUUGUAGUUGAGGUAUCGACUGAUAAGAUACAUCGUUCUGUGGCAAAGAUACGAGAAGUGAUAAGGGACUAUGGAGGAAAGAUGGCAGAUUCUGGGUCUGUGACAUUUAAGUUUAGACGUGUUAGGGUAGUAAAUAUUAAAGCUACUAAUGCUGACAAAGAUCAGCUGCUUUCCAUUGCUUUGGAUGCUGGAGCUGAGGAUGUAAUUGAACCUCCAACUUAUGAAGAUGACACUGAAGAGGAUAGCUCAGAAAGGUAUUAUAAAAUUGUUGGUUCUUCAGAGAACUAUUCAUCUAUAUUAUCUAAGCUGCGAGAAGAGGGCAUAGAUUUUGAGCCUGAUAAUGGUUCCGAGCUUCUUCCAAAUACCACGGUUGAGGAUUGCUGGGGUACAUUCUUGAGUUGAAAAUUAUUAGCUAAAAGGUUGCCAAAGUUUCAUGCGGUGAGAAUUUCAGAGCUUAAUUGGCGUGUGUUUAGCUACUAAUGAACUAUGCAAUUAGGGGGAGUAGACGAUGAGGCUAUGGACUUGAACAAGCAACUUAUGAGCAAAUUACUUGAGCUUGAUGAUGUUGAUGCUGUUUAUACCGAUCAAAAAUAAUAAUUUUUAUGUUUAAAAGCUGUUCAUCAGACAACUCAAGGUUCUCUUGGACACUGGAAGCUCCCAUCACAAAAAUGUACCUCUGGUUUAUUUACAAAAUGAAAAUAGGUUCCAAAAGUUAUUGGGGAUUCCUCAGGUGAAUAAUUUGUUGAUCUGACUGUUUAGUCCGAUUCCUUUUUUUUUUUGAGAGGACGGCCAGAUGCUUGCUUUCUGGAGGGGAUUUCAUUUUGAAAUUAUUUGAUUCAAACGCGAGGAUGUUUAAAUCAUGUACUGUCUUAUAUUAUAAACUGACAAAGUUUAAUAAUAAUAAAACAAGGUAAAUCUA